rnacentral:lncRNA from 1 species
CAAUAGGAUGGUUUGGUAACACUAUGGAUUCUUGAUCGAGUACAUGAUCUAGUUUUUCUGAGGUCAGGACAGUCUUGAGAUUUCUAAGCCAGUCUUUGUACUUAGUUUCGAUCAAAUGAUUGGUUUCAAAGAUACGAACUAGAGGGUUUGAGGUUAACAUUGUUUAACUAUAAAAGUAGAGAUUCAAGUUAGAUUUUUGUACUUUAAUAUUAUAUUUACUUUUAGAGAUUUUAAGAUGCAAACAAUGACUCCCACUAAUUUUUUGGAUCCC